AUAUAAUGGAACAGUGUUGGUCUUUUGAAAUUUUCUCAUCUCCAUUAGAUUUAAAAGACGAUAUCUGGUGUAUGCAAACAAAUAUUUUAUUCAUUUCUAUAAGACAAAUAAGAUUAUUAUAUUGUUGAAACACUAUAUUAAAUUACCGUGUCUUGUGUUAUACAACUAAUAUUUCCUUGUAAAAUAUAUAUAUUUUAUCUUAUAUCAAAUAUGAAUAAUACAAGUACUUAACUUUAAUAUGGCAUGGCCUUAAUUUUAUGCAAUAACAAAAUAAGGACAAAGGAUAAAAUAACAAAGGGCUACAAAUGUAUGACUUUGAGUAACUGGUUUUAGUUUAGAAAAUUCAAAAAAAAUUAUAAAAGAUUCAACAUGUAGGUGUUUUUUGUCAGGUCCAAAAAUGUAUAUCCUUGCAAUAACUAAAUUAGCGAAGGAAUGGUUGUACAUCGCGAAUAUAGUACUUCAUGGAAUAAAAUUGAGAAUGGAAAUUGUAUGAUGUGCCAAAGAGACAACAACCCGACCAUAGAAAAAAAAACAACAGCAGAAGGUCACCAACAGGUCUUCAAUGUAGCGAGAAAUUCCCGCACCCGGAGGCGUCCUUCAACUGGCCCCUCAACAAAUAUAUACUAGUUCAGUGAUAAUGAACGCCAUACUAAUUUCCAAAUUGUACACAAGAAACUAAAAUUAAAAUAAUACAAGACUAACAAAGGCCAGAGGCUCCUGACUUGGGACAGGCGUAAAAAUACGGUGGGGUUAAACAUGUUUGUGAGAUCUCAACCCUCCCCCUAUACCACCAUGUUUCGAAUAUUUAGACACUUUGUUUGUGUCAAAACAACUACAUGUAAUAACAAUUUUUCAAAAUAAGAAAUGAAAUAUUUUUUCACUGCAAGAUAAGAUAUUUGAAAUCUUACAAAAAUACUACACAUAUAUAAAAAUUAUACAAAAUGUACUCACCCAACAACACAUAUGAAAUAUCAAUAUAUACAGUUUUGCGAUUAUCUUUUCACAUUAAAAAAAAUACAAGACAAAACCGUUUAUGGAUCCAAAACAGUCCAAUGUGGUACAAUACAAAAAGUGUAGGAAGUAAAACAUUGAUAAUAUAGGAAACCACUGAAUGUUUAGUUAAGUAACCAACAGUACAAUUAAGUUUUGUUUAUCAUGUAAAUGUAUAACGAAUUUGCAUUGGUAUUUUGAAACUGUUUAAGUGAAAAACAAACAGUUAUAUAUUUUUUUUAUAAAAACAAUGCGUACAUAAAGAACACUUUAAUUGCAAUUUAAUUUUAUGCUGAAUUUUUAUCAAUUUUUUAAUCGAAAUUCAGUUGUAAGCUUCUAACCCUGGGUCAAUACAACUGUUUUAAUGUUUCUAUAUUAUAAUGAUGCUUAACGAACGUAUCAAAUGUAUUACUUGUGGUUGAAUAUGUUUUAAAAAAGAGACCUCUAUUCUCUGUCAGAAAAGUACUAACCUUUGUUUAGUACUGAUGAGACGAAAUUUUAUCAUUGCAAUUUG
rnacentral:lncRNA from 1 species